rfam:Triticum aestivum genome assembly, contig: Triticum_aestivum_CS42_TGACv1_scaffold_158668_2DL
CUUAUACCCCCUCCAUUCAAAAUUAUUUAUCGCGGAAAUGAAUGUACCUAGAUGUAUUUUAAUUCUAGAUACAUUCAUUUUUAUUCAUUUUUGUAACAAGUAAUUUAGGACGGAGGGAAUAAACA